CCCUUAGAUGUUCUGGGCCGCACACGCGCUACACUGAAGGAGGCAGCGUGUACUCCUGGAUCGAAAGAUUUGGGUAACCCGCGAAUCUCCUUCGUGCUAGGGAUUGAGGUUUGCAAUUAUCCUUCAUGAACGAGGAAUUCCCAGUAAGUGCAAGUCAUAAGCUUGCGCUGACUACGUCCCUGCCCUUUGUACACACCGCCCGUCGCUACUACCGAUUGAAUGGUUUAGUGAGGCCUCGGGACUGGCGCGCUCGAGUAGCAAUACACCUGCGCGCCGGGAACUUGGUCAAACUUGAUCAUUUAGAGGAAGUAAAAGUCGUAACA
rnacentral:rRNA from 1 species